AGACGACCAUAGUCGGUUGGUUCCACCUGUUCCCAUUCCGAACACAGAAGUUAAGCUUCCGACGUUUAUGUGUGUACUGCCACCAGGCGGGAAAUCAUAAAGUCGU
rnacentral:rRNA from 1 species